CCUACGGGGAGCAGCAGUGAGGAAUAUUGGUCCAUGGUCGUACGACUGAACCAGCCAAGUCGCGUGCAGGAUGACGGCCCUAUGGGUUGUAAACUGCUUUUAUGCGGGGAUAAAAUGCGUCCCGUGUGAUGUUUUGUAGGUACCGCAUGAGUAAGGACCGGCUAAUUCCGUGCCAGCAGGCGCGGUAAUCCGGACGGUCCGGGCGUUAUCCGGAUUUAUUGGGUUUAAGGGGAGCGUAGGCCGCAUGUUAAGCGUGCCGUGAAAUGCCGGGGCUCAACCAUGGCACGGCGGCGCGAACUGGCUGGCUGGAGUGCACGGAGCGUAUGCGGAAUUCGUGGUGUAGCGGUGAAAUGCUUAGAUAUCACGAAGAACUCCGAUGGCGAAGGCAGCAUCCGGCAGCGCUACUGACGCUGAAGCUCGAAGGCGCGGGUAUCGAACAGGAUUAGAUACCCGUGUAGUC
rnacentral:rRNA from 1 species